rnacentral:rRNA from 1 species
CCUACGGGAUGCAGCAGUGAGGAAUAUUGGUCAAUGGGCGCAAGCCUGAACCAGCCAAGUCGCGUGAGGGAUGACGGUCCUAUGGAUUGUAAACCUCUUUUGUCGGGGAGCAAGGCCCGCCACGUGUGGCGGGAAGGAGAGUACCCGAAGAAAAAGCAUCGGCUAACUCCGUGCCAGCAGCCGCGGUAAUACGGAGGAUGCGAGCGUUAUCCGGAUUUAUUGGGUUUAAAGGGAGCGUAGGUGGAUUGUUAAGUCAGUUGUGAAAGUUUGCGGCUCAACCGUAAAAUUGCAGUUGAAACUGGCGCUCUUGAGUGGAAGAGAAGUAUGCGGAAUGCGUGGUGUAGCGGUGAAAUGCAUAGAUAUCACGCAGAACCCCGAUUGCGAAGGCAGCAUGCCGGCUUCCGACUGACGCUGAAGCACGAAAGCGUGGGGAUCGAACAGGAUUAGAUACCCUUGUAGUC